CCAGCCUGGCCCCUAGACAGGUACUAUAUAUAGUAUCAGACACAUCACAGCCCAGCCUGGCCCCUAGACAGGUACUAUAUAUAGUAUCAGACACAUCACAGCCCAGCCUGGCCCCUAGACAGGUACUAUAUAUAGUAUCAGACACAUCACAGCCCAGCCUGGCCCCUAGACAGGUACUAUAUAUAGUUACAGACACAUCACAGCCCAGCCUGGCCCCUAGACAGGUACUAUAUAUAGUUACAGACACAUCACAGCCCAGCCUGGCCCCUAGACAGGUACUAUAUAUAGUAUCAGACACAUCACAGCCCAGCCUGGCCCCUAGACAGGUACUAUAUAUAGUAUCAGACACAUCACAGCCCAGCCUGGCCCCUAGACAGGUACUAUAUAUAGUAUCAGACACAUCACAGCCCAGCCUGGCCCCUAGACAGGUACUAUAUAUAGUUACAGACACAUCACAGCCCAGCCUGGCCCCUAGACAGGUACUAUAUAUAGUUACAGACACAUCACAGCCCAGCCUGGCCCCUUGACAGGUACUAUAUAUAGUAUCAGACACAUCACAGCCCAGCCUGGCCCCUAGACAGGUACUAUAUAUAGUUACACACAUCACAGCCCAGCCUGGCCCCUAGACAGGUACUAUAUAUAGUAUCAGACACAUCACAGCCCAGCCUGGCCCCUAGACAGGUACUAUAUAUAGUAUCAUUCUC